CAGGCAGGGGCCCAGGAGGCCCUGCAGAGAAGCAGCUCUCAGACUGUGUCCAUGACAAGAUGCAGAGCUCUAACUUGGACAGGGUGAAGGGGAGGAAGGAUAACUGAAGAGGCAGCAUCUGAGAGAAGAAUCUGAACUAUAUCGAUGACUGGGAUAUGAAUAUAAACAAACAUGUCUGACAAACUGGGAGAGAAGAAGAUAACGACAGAAAACAAAAUCAUG
rnacentral:lncRNA from 1 species